UGAGCUGCAUCACCAAAUGCUAGUGUAGCACCCUGCUCUACUAGAAGCCUGAUCAAAGCGUCGUGCCUCCCCAAUAUUGCAUCCCAAAGUGGAACAUUCCCUUCUGAAUCUGUACAGUUUAAAAGAAACUGGGAGAUCAUUAAACUCUACAUACCAGAGCAGUGCGCCCAUUCAUAUCCGCCUCAUUUGGUUCAGAACCUCGUUUCAGCAAAUGUUGCAACAAUGGUACAUCUCCUCUUGUGGCUGCAAAACAUAAACUGAGGGGCAAAUCCAUUCGACCGUGAGCUAGCAUGUUUUCUAUUUCUCUAAGAACAGUUUGCAUCAGUGAAUCCUUCUGCUCUUUUAAAUGCUGCACAAGCCAUGUAUAUGAUAUUAGUAGUUACCAGUACAUGUACAAGCACAUGAUCAGUCUGCAGAACUCCGCAAUAUAUAUUUGCAUCAAGAAAUCACCAAAGAAUAUAAGAAGCACUACAGCAAGUUAAGUGACACAUAA